rnacentral:lncRNA from 1 species
CUCCCCCAGGAUGGGAGCUCGACGGACAGAGUCCCUCAGAGAGCCCCAAGGGGGCAAGCCCAGCCUCAAAGUCGGGCAAUAGACGAAGAGGUACUUCCCCUUCCAGUUGUGGAUUGAAGAGGGAGCACCUUUCAGCAACCCCUUCUUGCCAAACUGGGGGGAGAAAUACCACCAGUCCUUUACCGAGGGAUGACGCUUGAAGGUGUAGAAAUGCCUAAACAAAGAGAGGGAUGGCUGAACUUCGAAUACGUGGCAAAGGGAGAGAAAACCUAUCAAAAACCUAAAGAAAUUCGGCGCCACUGAAGCUAAAGAAAUAUCUAAGAAACGAAAGAGG